UAUGGACGAGUGGGCAACUGGCUCUUCAGGCUUGGAACCAAGAGGGGGCAGCAGAGAGCAGAGAAGAAUUGGUUGGCUUGGGCUGACCCAGACCUAGGAAAACUUCCAAUCUUCUUCUUCUUCCCUCAAAACCGAAUCCUUGUGGACUCACUCUUGAGACUAUUGUCCACACAAGUGGUGUGGUCCAAGGCCACAGCAAGAAAGGUCUGAGGGAGUUCUUUGGGGUUCAGGUGGAGAAAAGCCUGUGCUGGAUGCCAGGCUGCUCUGAGAACAGGAAGGAAGAUAAUAAUGUUAACAGCAACAGUUACAAUUACCCAGCCCCUGUAGGGUGCCAGGCCCUCUGCCAAGGUGCUUUCUUUUCAUUCUCUCAAAGACUACUUGAGGUGGGGAAACCCCCAGUUUACAGAUGAGAAAACAGGGUCCCAGAGUGGUUAAAUACCUUGCCCAUGAUCACGUGACUAAGGGAGGGCCAAGCCACAUUUUAGACUCUUGCCUGUCCUGCCCUCUGUGUUAUGGUGCCCUUCCAGGAAGGAGGCAGAAAGGUGCACCUGGAGUUAGAAUAUCCUUGGGGAGUGUCCCGGACCCAAGGGAAGGCAAACGGUCCUUCUGGUACAGACUGCUGUCUCCUGAUGGCCACGGGUCUCCUGACAGAUUUAGCCAAUUCACUGGCUCACAGGUCCAUGCACCAUCCUCAGCAGAGCCGGGGUAAGGUAGCUGGGCUCGAACAGCCCCAGAAAAAGGCAAAAAGAAAGAUAACAGAAACUUGUAUGGAACUUUCAAGUACUCACUGUGGAAGUCAUUGAUUUAUCUGCCUACUGUGAGAGUUAUGUCACGUUGGAAGGUCACAUUAGAACGCCCCUCACCUCCUGCAGCCUCAGCUCCACCCUGGGCUCAGAGAUCAAUCCUUGCCUUAUUUAGGGAAGCACAUCCAAGCAUAUUUGAAACUUUUGGGAUGGGCUUGGGGAUACUGGCACCAGGGACAUCUUGCUGUCAGUACUGUCCUGAUUCUGAGAACUCCACUAACGCCACAUUCCUCAAUCCAAGCCUGGAUCUGGGACUCAGGCUGCUGCCUCACUAAAUGCCUUAUCUUUUGGGUCACUGCAGACCAGGGCCCUGCCUUCUUUAGCCAAUGUCUGUUUCCCUCAUCUGGCAGUAGGACAUCAGUCUACCAAAAGAGUCACAUGUUCAUAUCCCAGCUUAGGUCCAAGUUGUGAACCAACUUCAUUUCUUAAUGUAAUCACUUUUUUGGUAUUGCUUUUUUUCUCUAAAAAGUAUGUAUAUUUUCUGAUCCUACAUGUAAUAUUUUCUGGGCCAGUUGCAGUGGCACACACCUGAGCUACUCAAGGAAGCUGAGGCGGGAGGAUCCCUUGAGCCCAGGAGUUUGAGGUUACAGUGAACUAUGAUUGCGUCACUGUACUCCAGCCUAGACAGCUAGCAAGACCCCAUCUCUUAAAAAAAAUUGUUAGAAAAUA
rnacentral:lncRNA from 10 species